CGACGUGGAUAACCUGCCUCACACUGGGGGAUAGCAGUUAGAAAUGACUGCUAAUACCGCAUAAGCGUACAGUGCCGCAUGGCAGUGUGUGAAAAACUCCGGUGGUGUGAGAUGGAUCCGCGUCUGAUUAGCCAGUUGGCGGGGUAACGGCCCACCAAAGCGACGAUCAGUAGCCGACCUGAGAGGGUGACCGGCCACAUUGGGACUGAGACACGGCCCAA
rnacentral:rRNA from 1 species